rnacentral:rRNA from 1 species
AGAGUUUGAUCCUGGCUCAGAGUAAACGCAGGCGGCGUGCUUAUCACAUGCGGAUCCAACGACAACAGGUUAUAGCUUGCUAUAACUGUCAGCUAUCUGGCGCACGGGUGAGUAAUAUAUACGUAAUGUGCCUUAUAGAAGAGAAUAAUUGUUGGAAACGACUUGUAAUGCUCUAUAUGCCCUUAAUACAAAAGUAUACAGGGGAAAUAUUUAUAGCUCUAAGAUCGGCCUGUACGGUAUCAGCUUGUUGGUGAGGUAAUGGCUCACCAAGGCUAUGACGCCUAACUGGUUUGAGAGGAUGAUCAGUCACACUGGAACUGAGACACGGUCCAGACUCCUACGGGAGGCAGCAGUGGGGAAUAUUGCACAAUGGACGAAAGUCUGAUGCAGCAACGCCGCGUGGAGGAUGACGCAUUUCGGUGUGUAAACUCCUUUUAUAUGGGAAGAUAAUGACGGUACCAUAUGAAUAAGCACCGGCUAACUCCGUGCCAGCAGCCGCGGUAAUACGGAGGGUGCAAGCGUUACUCGGAAUCACUGGGCGUAAAGCGCGCGCAGGCGGCUAUUUAAGUUGGAUGUGAAAGCCUACGGCUCAACCGUAGAACUGCAUCCAAAACUAUUUAGCUAGAGUGUGGGAGAGGAAGAUGGAAUUAGUUGUGUAGGGGUAAAAUCCGUAGAGAUAACUAGGAAUACCAAAAGCGAAGGCAAUCUUCUGGAACACUACUGACGAUGAGGCGCGAAAGCGUGGGGAGCAAACAGGAUUAGAUACCCUGGUAGUCCACGCAGUAAACGAUGAAUNUUNGUCGUCGGGGGCCUAGUGUCUUCGGUGAUGCAGCUAACGCAUUAAACAUUCCGCCCGGGGAGUACGGUCGCAAGAUUAAAACUCAAAGGAAUAGACGGGGACCCGCACAAGUGGUGGAGCAUGUGGUUUAAUUCGAAGAUACGCGAAGAACCUUACCUAGCCUUGACAUAUUUUAGAACACUUUAGAGAUAGAGUGGUGCCUUCGGGAGCUAAUUUACAGGUGCUGCACGGCUGUCGUCAGCUCGUGUCGUGAGAUGUUGGGUUAAGUCCCGCAACGAGCGCAACCCUCGUCACUAGUUACUAACGGUUCGGCCGAGGACUCUAGUGAGACUGCCUUCGUAAGGAGGAGGAAGGUGAGGACGACGUCAAGUCAUCAUGGCCCUUACGGCUAGGGCAACACACGUGCUACAAUGGCCAGGACAGUGAGACGCAAUACCGCGAGGUGGAGCAAAUCUAUAAACCUGGUCUCAGUUCGGAUUGUUCUCUGCAACUCGAGAACAUCAAGAAGGAAUCAUUAGUAAUAGUAGAUCAGGUUUGGCACGGAGAAUGCAUUCCCGGG